rnacentral:rRNA from 1 species
AUUGAACGCUGGCGGCAGGCCUAACACAUGCAAGUCGAGCGGGGUUUUCGGACCUAGCGGCGGACGGGUGAGUAAUGCGUAGGAAGCUACCCGAUAGAGGGGGAUACCAGUUGGAAACGACUGUUAAUACCGCAUAAUGUCUACGGACCAAAGUGUGGGACCUUCGGGCCACAUGCUAUCGGAUGCGCCUACGUGGGAUUAGCUAGUUGGUGAGGUAAUGGCUCACCAAGGCGGCGAUCCCUAGCUGGUUUGGGAGGAUGAUCAGCCACACUGGAACUGAGACACGGUCCAGACUCCUACGGGAGGCAGCAGUGGGGAAUAUUGGACAAUGGGCGCAAGCCUGAUCCAGCCAUGCCGCGUGUGUGUAGAAGGCCUUCGGGUUGUAAAGCACUUUCAGUAGGGAGGAAGCGUUGUGUGUUAAUAGUACGCAGCGUUGACGUUACCUACAGAAGAAGCACCGGCUAACUCUGUGCCAGCAGCCGCGGUAACAC